rnacentral:rRNA from 1 species
AUUGAACGCUGGCGGCAUGCUUUACACAUGCAAGUCGAACGGUAACAGGCCGCAAGGUGCUGACGAGUGGCGAACGGGUGAGUAAUGCAUCGGAACGUGCCCAGUCGUGGGGGAUAACGCAGCGAAAGCUGCGCUAAUACCGCAUACGAUCUAUGGAUGAAAGCGGGGGACCGUAAGGCCUCGCGCGAUUGGAGCGGCCGAUGUCAGAUUAGGUAGUUGGUGGGGUAAAGGCUCACCAAGCCGACGAUCUGUAGCUGGUCUGAGAGGACGACCAGCCACACUGGGACUGAGACACGGCCCAGACUCCUACGGGAGGCAGCAGUGGGGAAUUUUGGACAAUGGGCGCAAGCCUGAUCCAGCAAUGCCGCGUGCAGGAAGAAGGCCUUCGGGUUGUAAACUGCUUUUGUACGGAACGAAACGGUCCUGGUUAAUACCUGGGGCUAAUGAUGGUACCGUAAGAAUAAGCACCGGCUAACUACGUGCCAGCCGCCGCAGUAAAAC